rnacentral:rRNA from 1 species
CUUUUGUGGGGUGCUCGAGUGGCGAACGGGUGAGUAACACGUGAGUAACCUGCCCUUGACUUUGGGAUAACUUCAGGAAACUGGGGCUAAUACCGGAUAGGAGCUCCUGCUGCAUGGUGGGGGUUGGAAAGUUUCGGCGGUUGGGGAUGGACUCGCGGCUUAUCAGCUUGUUGGUGGGGUAGUGGCUUACCAAGGCUUUGACGGGUAGCCGGCCUGAGAGGGUGACCGGCCACACUGGAACUGAGACACGGUCCAG